GUGGGGAAUCUUGCGCAAUGGGCGAAAGCCUGACGCAGCCAUGCCGCGUGAAUGAUGAAGGUCUUAGGAUUGUAAAAUUCUUUCACCGGGGACGAUAAUGACGGUACCCGGAGAAGAAGCUCCGGCUAACUUCGUGCCAGCAGCCGCGGUAAUACGAAGGGGGCUAGCGUUGCUCGGACUUACUGGGCGUAAAGGGCGCGUAGGCGGACAGCUUAGUCAGAGGUGAAAGCCCAGGGCUCAACCUUGGAAUUGCCUUUGAUACUGGCUGUCUUGAGUGUGGGAGGGGUGAGGGGAACUCCGAGUGUAGAGGUGAAAUUCGUAGAUAUUCGGAAGAACACCAGUGGCGAAGGCGACUCACUGGCCCAAAACUGACGCUGAGGCGCGAAAGCGUGGGGAGCAAACAGGAUUAGAGACCCCAGUACUCC
rnacentral:rRNA from 1 species